UAGUCCACGCCGUAAACGAUGAUCACUCGCUGUUGGCGAUACACUGUCAGCGGCCAAGCGAAAAUAUUAAGUGAUCCACCUGGGGAGUACGCCGGCAACGGUGAAACUCAAAGGAAUUGACGGGGGCCCGCACAAGCGGUGGAGCAUGUGGUUUAAUUCGAUGAUACGCGAGGAACCUUACCAGGGCUUAAAUGUAAGUUGCAUAGACCAGAGAUGGUCUUUUCUUCGGACUACUUACAAGGUGCUGCAUGGUUGUCGUCAGCUCGUGCCGUGAGGUGUCAGGUUAAGUCCUAUAACGAGCGCAACCCCUAUUCUUAGUUGCCAGCAUGUAAUGAUGGGGACUCUAGGAAGACUGCCGGCGUAAGCCGCGAGGAAGGUGGGGAUGACGUCAAAUCAUCAUGGCCUUUAUGCCCAGGGCUACACACGUGCUACAAUGGCGUAUACAGCGGGUCGCGAAGCCGCGAGGGGGAGCCGAAUCCCAGAAAGCCGGUCGUAGUCCGGAUCGG
rnacentral:rRNA from 1 species